rnacentral:rRNA from 1 species
UAGGGAAUCUUCCACAAUGGACGAAAGUCUGAUGGAGCAACGCCGCGUGAGUGAUGAAGGGUUUCGGCUCGUAAAACUCUGUUGUUGGAGAAGAACAGGUGAUAGAGUAACUGUUAUCAUCUUGACGGUAUCCAACCAGAAAGCCACGGCUAACUACGUGCCAGCAGCCGCGGUAAUACGUAGGUGGCAAGCGUUGUCCGGAUUUAUUGGGCGUAAAGCGAGCGCAGGCGGUUUUUUAGGUCUGAUGUGAAAGCCUUCGGCUUAACCGGAGAAGGGCAUCGGAAACCGGGAGACUUGAGUGCAGAAGAGGACAGUGGAACUCCAUGUGUAGCGGUGAAAUGCGUAGAUAUAUGGAAGAACACCAGUGGCGAAGGCGGCUGUCUGGUCUGUAACUGACGCUGAGGCUCGAAAGCAUGGGUAGCGAACAGGAUUAGAUACCCUGGUAGUCCAUGCCGUAAACGAUGAGUGCUAAGUGUUGGAGGGUUUCCGCCCUUCAGUGCUGCAGCUAACGCAUUAAGCACUCCGCCUGGGGGAGUACGACCGCAAGGUUGAA